rnacentral:rRNA from 1 species
UACGUAGGGUGCGAGCGUUAAUCGGAAUUACUGGGCGUAAAGCGUGCGCAGUCGGUUAUUUAAGUCGGAUGUGAAAUCCCCGGGCUCAACCUGGGAAUUGCGAUGAAGACUGCAAGGCUUGAAUCUGGCAGAGGGGGGGUAGAAUUCCACGUGUAGCAGUGAAAUGCGUAGAGAUCGGGAGGAACACCUGUGGCGAAGGCGGCCGACUGGGCCGACCCUGACGCUGAGGCGCGAAGGCGUGGGGAGCGAACGGGG